rnacentral:rRNA from 1 species
UCUCCGUUGGUGAACCAGCGGAGGGAUCAUUGCUGGAACGCGCUUCGGCGCACCCAGAAACCCUUUGUGAACUUAUACCUAUUGUUGCCUCGGCGUUAGGCCGGCCUCUUCACUGAGGCCCCCUGGAAACAGGGAGCAGCCCGCCGGCGGCCAACUAAACUCUUGUUUCUAUAGUGAAUCUCUGAGUAAAAAACAUAAAUGAAUCAAAACUUUCAACAACGGAUCUCUUGGUUCUGGCAUCGAUGAAGAACGCAGCGAAAUGCGAUAAGUAAUGUGAAUUGCAGAAUUCAGUGAAUCAUCGAAUCUUUGAACGCACAUUGCGCCCCCUGGUAUUCCGGGGGGCAUGCCUGUUCGAGCGUCAUUUCAACCCUCAAGCCUGGCUUGGUGAUGGGGCACUGCUUCGAAAGGAGCAGGCCCUGAAAUUCAGUGGCGAGCUCGCCAGGACCCCGAGCGUAGUAGUUAUAUCUCGCUUUGGAAGGCCCUGGCGGUGCCCUGCCGUUAAACCCCCAACUUCUGAAAAUUUGACCUCGGAUCAGGUAGGAAUACCCGCUGAACUUAA